UUAAAAUAAUUAUGAUUUUUAAAAAUUGACCACUUUAAAGAAGUUCACUUCCAGAACAAGAAUUUACUCACUGCUUUGUCAUUCAAGAUUUCUUCAGUCGUAAAGAAAUUAUGUUUUUUGAGGAAAACAUAAGGAUUUCUCUCCAUGUAAUGGACUCAUAUGGUGCCCGUGAGUUUGAACUUGAGUUUGAAUUUGAGUUUGAACCAAAAUGCAGUUUCAAUGCAGCUUCAAAGGACUCUACAUGAUCCCUGCCAAGAAAGAAGGAUCUUAUCUAGCAAAACGAUCAGUUAUUUUCUAAAAAAAAAUUUUUUAAUACAGUUCGGGUAUGUUGAAAAACUCCCAACUCAUUUUCUCCUCCAACUCUAAAAAUCGCCCUACAUCGCUGCAGAAGUACCGACCCAGUGUUUACAAAGUGAACGUGCAAAGAAGGUCAAACGCCCUUUACAAAAAAAAGGUAAAACAGUGAUGAUUUUGAAUUUGGAGAAGGAAAUGAGAUGGGGGUUUUUCGACAUACCCUAUCUGUAUUGGCCCAGAGGUGGGUCAUGCACAUUGCAGAGCUAGACAAGACGAGCACUUGAGGUUAAAAAGUAUAUAAAUUGUACAUUUUUUUAGAAAAUAACUUAUAUAUAUAUAAAACCCUUCUUUCUUUAGAGCCCUUUGAACCUGCAUUUAAACUGCAUUUUGGAAGUUCAAACUCAUGGGCACCAUAGAAGUCCACUAUAUAGAGAACAUUCUGAAAUGUUUUCCCUCAAAAAAAAAGUAAAAAAGUAAUUCUUUACUUUUUCUGUGCCUUGACCUAGGUAGGACCCUUUCUGUCUUACAGGGUUGGAACGACAUGAGAGCGAGUAGUUAAUAAAACUAAAUUCAUUUUUGGGUGAACUAUCCCUUUAAAACAUUUGAGGUACGUUGUUAGGCCUGUAGGAGUUGCAUAUGGGCCUACUGUAAGUGCAGGCAGAUUGUGAUGACUCUGGCACAGUGCCAUAUUGAAUCUGUCUCAACAGAGACAGUAUAAUGAGCACAGACACCACAGACAUGCCCUGCCAAAACAGCCACACAUACCAGCACAGCUCCUCAUUCAACAGGAUCGCUGAACUAUGCCGUCUUUCUAAGAGAUUGAUCAGAUUCCUGCCCGUAAACUGGAUGAACACUGCACGUUCUGUCUAAA